rnacentral:rRNA from 1 species
AAGCACAAUUUUAACGAUGGAUGUCUUGGUUCCUACAGCGAUGAAGGCCGUAGCAAAAUACGAUAGACAAUGAAAAUUGCAAUUACUGUGAAUCAUCUGAAUGCUGAAUGUAAACUACUCCCAGCCCUUUUAUAAGGGUUAUGUGGAACUCCUAUUCUAUAUGUUCA